rnacentral:rRNA from 1 species
CCUACGGGAGGCAGCAGUGGGGAAUAUUGGACAAUGGGCGCAAGCCUGAUCCAGCAAUGCCGCGUGAGUGAUGAAGGCCUUAGGGUCGUAAAGCUCUUUUACCAGGGAUGAUAAUGACAGUACCUGGAGAAUAAGCUCCGGCUAACUCCGUGCCAGCAGCCGCGGUAAUACGGAGGGAGCUAGCGUUGUUCGGAAUUACUGGGCGUAAAGCGUACGUAGGCGGUUAUUCAAGUCAGAGGUGAAAGCCCGGGGCUCAACCCCGGAACGGCCUUUGAAACUAGGUAGCUAGAAUCUUGGAGAGGUCAGUGGAAUUCCGAGUGUAGAGGUGAAAUUCGUAGAUAUUCGGAAGAACACCAGUGGCGAAGGCGACUGACUGGACAAGUAUUGACGCUGAGGUACGAAAGCGUGGGGAGCAAACAGGAUUAGAUACCCUGGUAGUCCACGCCGUAAACGAUGAUAACUAGCUGUCCGGGCACUUGGUGCCUGGGUGGCGCAGCUACGACAUUAAGUUAUCCGUCCGUCGGGUAGGUACGGUCGCGAAGAAUUAAACUAACAAAGAAGUUAGUACGGCGUGAGACGUCGCCGAACGGACGACCGACGAGGGAGGUAGG